rnacentral:lncRNA from 1 species
UUUUUUCAAUCCUACUUGAAGCUGAAGUUGUCUUUAUCUGAUAUAUUUCUCUCCGAUAAACAAAAAUGGAAUCAUAGUAUAAAACCGCAUACUUUGUUUAUUUUAUGUAACAAACAAAAAAAAAACGUAAGACGCCUACCACAAAAUUCAACACUUUCUAUCCCCUUUUAAUCAUUCAAUCUCAACUCCACCUUCCAUUUUCACUCACUUCACAAUUCACAGUUUCACACACACACCACUCUUCUUUUUUGAUUCACAAUUCAAACCUCAAAACCCAUGUCUGAAC